UUUUUUUUUUAGUAUAUGAAAUUUUACUUUGAGAAAAUUAGAGUGCUUAAAGCAGGCAUAUGCCUUGAAUACUCCAGCAUGGAAUAAUAUUAAAGAUUUUUAUCUUUUUUAUUGGUUCUAAGAUAAGAAUAAUGAUUAAUAGGGACAGUUGGGGGCAUUUGUAUUUAACAGUCAGAGGUGAAAUUCUUAGAUUUGUUAAAGACAAACUAAUGCGAAAGCAUUUGCCAAGGAUGUUUUCAUUAAUCAAGAACGAAAGUUAGGGGAUCGAAGACGAUCAGAUACCGUCGUAGUCUUAACCAUAAAC
rnacentral:rRNA from 1 species